UCAUGUAAUGACGCCUAAAAUAUUAAUGCACUAUAUCCCAUUUGAAAUUCAUAGUUAAGUGUGCUUGGGAUAUAAUAGUACUAGGAUGGAUGACCUCCCGAGAAGUCCCAGUGUUUUACAUGUC
rnacentral:rRNA from 1 species